UUAAGCGACUAAGCGUACACGGUGGAUGCCCUGGCAGUCAGAGGCGAUGAAGGACGUGCUAAUCUGCGAAAAGCGUCGGUAAGGUGAUAUGAACCGUUAUAACCGGCGAUGUCCGAAUGGGGAAACCCAGUGCAAUUCGUUGCACUAUCGUUAACUGAAUACAUAGGUUAACGAGGCGAACCGGGGGAACUGAAACAUCUAAGUACCCCGAGGAAAAGAAAUCAACCGAGAUUCCCCCAGUAGCGGCGAGCGAACGGGGAGCAGCCCAGAGUCUGAAUCAGCUUGUGUGUUAGUGGAACGGUCUGGAAAGUCCGACGGUACAGGGUGAUAGUCCCGUACACCAAAAUGCACAUGCUGUGAGCUCGAUGAGUAGGGCGGGACACGUGGUAUCCUGUCUGAAUAUGGGGGGACCAUCCUCCAAGGCUAAAUACUCCUGACUGACCGAUAGUGAACCAGUACCGUGAGGGAAAGGCGAAAAGAACCCCGGCGAGGGGAGUGAAAAAGAACCUGAAACCGUGUACGUACAAGCAGUGGGAGCACCUUCGGGUGUGACUGCGUACCUUUUGUAUAAUGGGUCAGCGACUUAUAUUCUGUAGCAAGGUUAACCGUAUAGGGGAGCCGCAGGGAAACCGAGUCUUAACUGGGCGUUAAGUUGCAGGGUAUAGACCCGAAACCCGGUGAUCUAGCCAUGGGCAGGUUGAAGGUUGGGUAACACUAACUGGAGGACCGAACCGACUAAUGUUGAAAAAUUAGCGGAUGACUUGUGGCUGGGGGUGAAAGGCCAAUCAAACCGGGAGAUAGCUGGUUCUCCCCGAAAGCUAUUUAGGUAGCGCCUCGUGAAUUCAUCUCCGGGGGUAGAGCACUGUUUCGGCAAGGGGGUCAUCCCGACUUACCAACCCGAUGCAAACUGCGAAUACCGGAGAAUGUUAUCACGGGAGACACACGGCGGGUGCUAACGUCCGUCGUGAAGAGGGAAACAACCCAGACCGCCAGCUAAGGUCCCAAAGUCAUGGUUAAGUGGGAAACGAUGUGGGAAGGCCCAGACAGCCAGGAUGUUGGCUUAGAAGCAGCCAUCAUUUAAAGAAAGCGUAAUAGCUCACUGGUCGAGUCGGCCUGCGCGGAAGAUGUAACGGGGCUAAACCAUGCACCGAAGCUGCGGCAGCGACGCUUAUGCGUUGUUGGGUAGGGGAGCGUUCUGUAAGCCUGUGAAGGUGUGCUGUGAGGCAUGCUGGAGGUAUCAGAAGUGCGAAUGCUGACAUAAGUAACGAUAAAGCGGGUGAAAAGCCCGCUCGCCGGAAGACCAAGGGUUCCUGUCCAACGUUAAUCGGGGCAGGGUGAGUCGACCCCUAAGGCGAGGCCGAAAGGCGUAGUCGAUGGGAAACAGGUUAAUAUUCCUGUACUUGGUGUUACUGCGAAGGGGGGACGGAGAAGGCUAUGUUGGCCGGGCGACGGUUGUCCCGGUUUAAGCGUGUAGGCUGGUUUUCCAGGCAAAUCCGGAAAAUCAAGGCUGAGGCGUGAUGACGAGGCACUACGGUGCUGAAGCAACAAAUGCCCUGCUUCCAGGAAAAGCCUCUAAGCAUCAGGUAACAUCAAAUCGUACCCCAAACCGACACAGGUGGUCAGGUAGAGAAUACCAAGGCGCUUGAGAGAACUCGGGUGAAGGAACUAGGCAAAAUGGUGCCGUAACUUCGGGAGAAGGCACGCUGAUAUGUAGGUGAAGUCCCUCGCGGAUGGAGCUGAAAUCAGUCGAAGAUACCAGCUGGCUGCAACUGUUUAUUAAAAACACAGCACUGUGCAAACACGAAAGUGGACGUAUACGGUGUGACGCCUGCCCGGUGCCGGAAGGUUAAUUGAUGGGGUCAGCGCAAGCGAAGCUCUUGAUCGAAGCCCCGGUAAACGGCGGCCGUAACUAUAACGGUCCUAAGGUAGCGAAAUUCCUUGUCGGGUAAGUUCCGACCUGCACGAAUGGCGUAAUGAUGGCCAGGCUGUCUCCACCCGAGACUCAGUGAAAUUGAACUCGCUGUGAAGAUGCAGUGUACCCGCGGCAAGACGGAAAGACCCCGUGAACCUUUACUAUAGCUUGACACUGAACAUUGAGCCUUGAUGUGUAGGAUAGGUGGGAGGCUUAGAAGUGUGGACGCCAGUCUGCAUGGAGCCGACCUUGAAAUACCACCCUUUAAUGUUUGAUGUUCUAACGUUGACCCGUAAUCCGGGUUGCGGACAGUGUCUGGUGGGUAGUUUGACUGGGGCGGUCUCCUCCUAAAGAGUAACGGAGGAGCACGAAGGUUGGCUAAUCCUGGUCGGACAUCAGGAGGUUAGUGCAAUGGCAUAAGCCAGCUUGACUGCGAGCGUGACGGCGCGAGCAGGUGCGAAAGCAGGUCAUAGUGAUCCGGUGGUUCUGAAUGGAAGGGCCAUCGCUCAACGGAUAAAAGGUACUCCGGGGAUAACAGGCUGAUACCGCCCAAGAGUUCAUAUCGACGGCGGUGUUUGGCACCUCGAUGUCGGCUCAUCACAUCCUGGGGCUGAAGUAGGUCCCAAGGGUAUGGCUGUUCGCCAUUUAAAGUGGUACGCGAGCUGGGUUUAGAACGUCGUGAGACAGUUCGGUCCCUAUCUGCCGUGGGCGCUGGAGAACUGAGGGGGGCUGCUCCUAGUACGAGAGGACCGGAGUGGACGCAUCACUGGUGUUCGGGUUGUCAUGCCAAUGGCACUGCCCGGUAGCUAAAUGCGGAAGAGAUAAGUGCUGAAAGCAUCUAAGCACGAAACUUGCCCCGAGAUGAGUUCUCCCUGACUCCUUGAGAGUCCUGAAGGAACGUUGAAGACGACGACGUUGAUAGGCCGGGUGUGUAAGCGCAGCGAUGCGUUGAGCUAACCGGUACUAAUGAACCGUGAGGCUUAACCUU
rnacentral:rRNA from 1 species